rnacentral:rRNA from 1 species
CCUACCCAAAGCCUACACAUAGCAGUCGAGCGGUAGCACAGAGAGCUUGCUCUCGGGUGACGAGCGGCGGACGGUGAGUAAUGUCUGGGAAACUGCCUGAUGGAGGGGGUAACUACUGGAAACGGUAGCUAAUACCGCAUAACGUCGCAGACCAAAGUGGGGGACCUUCGGGCCUCAUGCCAUCAGAUGUGCCCAGAUGGGAUUAGCUAGUAGGUGGGUAACGGCUCACCUAGGCGACGAUCCCUAGCUGGUCUGAGAGGAUGACCAGCCACACUGGAACUGAGACACGGUCCAGACUCCUACGGGAGGCAGCAGUGGGGAAUAUUGCACAAUGGGCGCAAGCCUGAUGCAGCCAUGCCGCGUGUGUGAAGAAGGCCUUCGGGUUGAAAGCACUUUCAGCGGGGAGGAAGGCGUGAGGUUAAUAACCUUGUCGAUUGACGUUACCCGCAGAAAAGCACCGGUAACUCCGUGCCAGCAGCCGCGGUAUACGGAGGUGC